GCAGUAUAUAGGGAAUUGGUUGCCAUUUAGGAAGCUGCCUACAGCACCAUAGCACCUUCUGUUUAUCCACCGUUCUUUAUUUAUUUUCACCUCUUCCUCCCAUAUGUGUUCAUUCCUGAAUUGGAAGAACUUUAUGGUUCUCUGCACUGAAAAAUGCCCACAAAAAGUUAUUCCAAGAACCCCAUAGGAGGUGGGGUUCAUCGAGGAACUCCUUAGUUGGUGGGGGUUCUUGCAGGAACCUAACUACCCAACUGAAACAUUUGGAUUUAAAUUUGAGACAACAGCAGGUGCAGGUACUUAACUGAAAAAUGUAAAGAUCUCAAUUUAAGAACAGAAAACGGACACAAUUCAAUGGAUAUCAAUCAACGAAGAGACUAAAGGAUGGAAGUAGAAAGGACAGUAGGAAAGAGAAGGAAGAGGGUUCAUCUUUAGAAGAAAACUGAGAACAUCAGAUCUCCAUUACAUAGAGAAGGUGUCACACCUGCUCCCACUCUUCCCCCCCCGUCGCUCGAGGGUGCCAGGCUCCCUAGCAUUGCGCACUCCUGCCAUCAUCAUUACGCACACCUGCCAUCAUCAUUACGCACACCUGCCUUCCCCCCUUCACGCGCAUCAGCGAUUAUUGGACUCACCUGGACUCAAUCACCUCUGUCAUUACCUUCCCUAUAUCUGUCUGGUUCCCCUGUUCCCUGCUUCUGCAUUGAUUGUCAC
rnacentral:lncRNA from 1 species